rnacentral:rRNA from 1 species
AGCCGGACUUCGGUCCGGUGGAAAGCGGCGAACGGGUGCGUAACACGUGAGCAACCUGCCCCGAAGACCGGGAUAACCCGAGGAAACUCGGGCUAAUACCGGAUGUCCUCUUCUGAUCGCAUGGUCGGACGAGGAAAUGUUCAGGCGCUUCGGGAUGGGCUCGCGGUCUAUCAGCUUGUUGGUGGGGUAACGGCCUACCAAGGCGACGACGGAUAGCUGGUCUGAGAGGACGAUCAGCCACACUGGAACUGAAACACGGUCCAGACUCCUACGGGAGGCAGCAGUGGGGAAUCUUGCGCAAUGGACGAAAGUCUGACGCAGCCACGCCGCGUGAGUGAAGAAGGCCUUCGGG